GAUGAAGAACGCAGCGAAAUGCGAUAAGUAGUGUGAAUUGCAGAAUUCAGUGAAUCAUCGAAUCUUUGAACGCACAUUGCGCCCCUUGGUAUUCCGGGGGGCAUAUCUGUUCGAGCGUCAUUUCAACCCUCAAGCCCAGCUUGGUGUUGGGGAUCGGCACAGGCGCCCUCGGGCGCCCGCCGUCCCCUAAAUCUAGUGGCGGUCCCGCUGCAGCCUCCUCUGCGUAGUAGUUUUCUCCUCGCAAGGGCAGCUCGGUGGCGACCUCGCCGUAAAACCCCCAACUUCUGAAAGGUUGACCUCGAAUCAGGUAGGAAUACCCGCUGAACUUAAGCAUAUCAAUAAGCGGAGGA
rnacentral:misc_RNA from 1 species